AGUGAACGCUGGCGGUAGGCCUAACACAUGCAAGUCGAACGGCAGCACAGUAAGAGCUUGCUCUUACGGGUGGCGAGUGGCGGACGGGUGAGGAAUACAUCGGAAUCUACUUUUUCGUGGGGGAUAACGUAGGGAAACUUACGCUAAUACCGCAUACGACCUACGGGUGAAAGCAGGGGAUCUUCGGACCUUGCGCGAUUGAAUGAGCCGAUGUCGGAUUAGCUAGUUGGCGGGGUAAAGGCCCACCAAGGCGACGAUCCGUAGCUGGUCUGAGAGGAUGAUCAGCCAACCUGGAACUGAGACACGGUCCAGACUCCUACGGGAGGCAGCAGUGGGGAAUAUUGGAGAAUGAGCGCAAGCCUGAUCCAGCCAUACCGCGUGGGUGAAGAAGGCCUUCGGGUUGUAAAGCCCUUUUGUUGGGAAAGAAAAGCAGCAGGUUAAUACCCCGCUGUUCUGACGGUACCCAAAGAAUAAGCACCGGCUAACUUCGU
rnacentral:rRNA from 1 species